AAACUUAGGCUAACAUAGACCAAAGGCCUU
rnacentral:tRNA from 1 species